rnacentral:rRNA from 1 species
GAUGAACGCUGGCGGCGUGCCUAAUACAUGCGAGUCGAGCGAACAGACGAGGAGCUUGCUCCCCUGACGUUAGCGGCGGACGGGUGAGUAACACGUGGAUAACCUACCUAUAAGACUGGGAUAACUUCGGGAAACCGGAGCUAAUACCGGAUAAUAUAUUGAACCGCAUGGUUCAAUAGUGAAAGACGGUUUUGCUGUCACUUAUAGAUGGAUCCGCGCCGCAUUAGCUAGUUGGUAAGGUAACGGCUUACCAAGGCGACGAUGCGUAGCCGACCUGAGAGGGUGAUCGGCCACACUGGAACUGAGACACGGUCCAGACUCCUACGGGAGGCAGCAGUAGGGAAUCUUCCGCAAUGGGCGAAAGCCUGACGGAGCAACGCCGCGUGAGUGAUGAAGGUCUUCGGAUCGUAAAACUCUGUUAUUAGGGAAGAACAAAUGUGUAAGUAACUAUGCACGUCUUGACGGUACCUAAUCAGAAAGCCACGGCUAACUACGUG